UACGUAGGCAGCAAGCGUUGUUCGGAAUUACUGGGCGUAAAGAGUGUGUAGGCGGUUUUCUAAGUUCGGUGUGAAAUCUCCCGGCUUAACUGGGAGGGUGCGCCGGAAACUGGAGGACUGGAGUGCCGGAGAGGAUAGCGGAAUUCCUGGUGUAGCGGUGAAAUGCGUAGAUAUCAGGAGGAACACCGGUGGCGAAGGCGGGUCUCUGGGCAGUAACUGACGCUGAGGAGCGAAAGCGUGGGGAGCGAACAGG
rnacentral:rRNA from 1 species